rnacentral:rRNA from 1 species
AGGAAUAUUGGUCAAUGGACGGAAGUCUGAACCAGCCAAGUAGCGUGCAGGAUGACGGCCCUAUGGGUUGUAAACUGCUUUUAUAAGGGAAUAAAGUGAGUCUCGUGAGACUUUUUGCAUGUACCUUAUGAAUAAGGACCGGCUAAUUCCGUGCCAGCAGCCGCGGUAAUACGGAAGGUCCGGGCGUUAUCCGGAUUUAUUGGGUUUAAAGGGAGCGUAGGCCGGAGAUUAAGCGUGUUGUGAAAUGUAGACGCUCAACGUCUGCACUGCAGCGCGAACUGGUUUCCUUGAGUACGCACAAAGUGGGCGGAAUUCGUGGUGUAGCGGUGAAAUGCUUAGAUAUCACGAAGAACUCCGAUUGCGAAGGCAGCUCACUGGAGCGCAACUGACGCUGAAGCUCGAAAGUGCGGGUAUCGAACAGAAUUAGAUACCCUGGUAGUCCGCACGGUAAACGAUGGAUGCCCGCUGUUGGUCUGAACAGGUCAGCGGCCAAGCGAAAGCAUUAAGCAUCCCACCUGGGGAGUACGCCGGCAACGGUGAAACUCAAAGGAAUUGACGGGGGCCCGCACAAGCGGAGGAACAUGUGGUUUAAUUCGAUGAUACGCGAGGAACCUUACCCGGGCUUGAAUUGCAGAGGAAGGAUUUGGAGACAAUGACGCCCUUCGGGGUCUCUGUGAAGGUGCUGCAUGGUUGUCGUCAGCUCGUGCCGUGAGGUGUCGGCUUAAGUGCCAUAACGAGCGCAACCCCUCUCCUUAGUUGCCAUCAGGUCAUGCUGGGCACUCUGGGGACACUGCCACCGUAAGGUGUGAGGAAGGUGGGGAUGACGUCAAAUCAGCACGGCCCUUACGUCCGGGGCUACACACGUGUUACAAUGGCAGGUACAGAGAGACGGUCCCUUGCAAAAGGGAUCAAAUCCUCAAAGCCUGUCUCAGUUCGGACUGGGGUCUGCAACCCGACCCCACGAAGCUGGAUUCGCUAGUAAUCGCGCAUCAGCCAUGGCGCGGUGAAUACGUUCCCG